UAUUACGGAUAUAUCUCAUAGAAAACAUUGGUUCUUGUCUGAUUACCAAAGUUAAGCAACAUUGAGCCUAGUUAGUACUUAGAUAGGUGACUGCUUGGGUGCUAUAAACAUCAGCUAGGU
rnacentral:rRNA from 1 species